GACAGAGGGGGCAAGCGUUGCUCGGAAUUACUGGGCGUAAAGGGCGCGUAGGCGGGAUGGCAAGUCGGUCGUGAAAUCCCUCGGCUCAACCGAGGAACGUCGAUCGAUACUGCUGUUCUUGAGGAUUGCAGAGGAGACUGGAAUUCCCGGUGUAGCGGUGAAAUGCGUAGAUAUCGGGAGGAAUACCUAUGGCGAAGGCAGGUUACUGGGCCAUCACUGACGCUGAGCUGCGAAAGCUAGGGGAGCAAACAGG
rnacentral:rRNA from 1 species